rnacentral:tRNA from 1 species
GGAGGCGUGGCAGAGUGGUUGAACGCGCAUGUUUCGAAAACAUGUAUGCCCGAAAGGGUAUCGGAGGUUCGAAUCCUCCCGCCUCCG